rnacentral:rRNA from 1 species
GUGCCAGCAGCCGCGGUAAUACAGAGGUGGCAAGCGUUGUUCGGAAUUACUGGGCGUAAAGGGCGCGUAGGCGGCCUUCUAAGUCUUGUGUGAAAUCCCUCGGCUCAACUGAGGAACUGCACGGGAUACUGGAUGGCUUGAGUUCGGGAGAGGGAAGCGGAAUUCCGGGUGUAGCGGUGAAAUGCGUAGAUAUCCGGAGGAACACCGGUGGCGAAGGCGGCUUCCUGGACCGAUUACUGACGCUGAGGCGCGAAAGCUAGGGGAGCAAACGGGAUUAGAUACCCCUGUAGUCC